UAGGGAAUCUUCCGCAAUGGACGAAAGUCUGACGGAGCAACGCCGCGUGAGUGAAGAAGGUUUUCGGUUCGUAAAACUCUGUUGUUAGGGAAGAAAAAAUGUAUAGUAACUAUAUACAAAAGAGACGGUACCUAACCAGAAAGCCACGGCUAACUACGUGCCAGCAGCCGCGGUAAUACGUAGGUGGCAAGCGUUGUCCGGAAUUAUUGGGCGUAAAGCGCGCGCAGGUGGUUUAGAAAGUCUGAUGUGAAAGCCCACGGCUCAACCGUGGAGGGUCAUUGGAAACUAAUAAACUUGAGUGCAGGAGAGAAAAGUGGAAUUCCUAGUGUAGCGGUGAAAUGCGUAGAGAUUAGGAGGAACACCGGUGGCGAAAGCGGCUUUUUGGCCUGCAACUGACGCUGAGGCGCGAAAGAGUGGGGAGCAAACAGG
rnacentral:rRNA from 1 species